CUUUAGACAAGGAACGAGAAUGCUCUGGAGUUUAACGCUGAUCAGAAGGCAUCACAGCGACCAACCAUCCACGUCCCUGUUGCGUGAGGAACGGCAAUGAAAGCAGGAGGAUGUCAUGUGGUUGUGCAACCGUGCAGUGUGGAGCAGCACUUUCGCCCUCGAGGUUUAACUGCAUGAAUUCACACCUUUCUAAGGCAAGGGUUCAGGACAGAGGAUGCAGUGACCUUUAAGGAUUGACAUGCUUUCAGUAAUGCCACCAAAAGAAAGGGAGAUUGAGUGGCAACAGUGGAAAUGUCUCUUGGCACUGGUGCUGCUCCAUUUUCCAAUGGGUCAGCUGAACCCAGCUGAAUUAGCACUGAAUUUAUCCUUGAGCCUUUUUAAUGUGUUUGAAACAUUUUAUAGCGAGUAGUUUCCUGGGAUGUGAAUCAGUUUCAUUUGCUCUGUGCCUUCUUCCUGCUCUUUUCAUGGCAGAAGGAGGUCAAUAUGAAAUUUGGAUAUGUUGCUCCCAAGGCAAGCACACUCCAAAGGCUGAUCAGACAUGGGUAUGAUAACAGUCCUGGAUGUUCUAAAAAUGUUCUUGAGAACCAAAGGACUUCUGGGGAAAGUUGGUGUCUUGAAGCUCCUGUUUUGUGCCUUUUGCAAUAUUAGAACUCUCUUAACAGAAGGGUUUGAUUAUGAAAUUGCUUUGUGCUUUCAUGGGAUCACCCUGGCCAGGCAACUGUCUCAUCUACUUCUCUGUCUCUUCUUGCUGUGUCCUCAUGGAGCACUCUGAUCACUUGGGUCCCAGUUUCAUUGGCACCCUGGGUUGUGCUGGAAAGCAAAAGUACUCAUUACCUGGUUUGGAGACAAGGGAAGUUUGCUUAUUUUCCCCAGGAAAAUCAAAAAGGUGAUUUAAACCAUUUAUGAGGUUUCCAGGUGACCACAAUUUUGGAAUUGUUCAGAACACAAAUCAAUUCCAGGCAAAACUAUAUAUGAAUAUAGAGGGUGUGAGAACUGUGAGCUGGAUUGCCUUGCCCUCAGGAAAAAUCCUGUGGACAGUGAUUGGCAAGGAAUGUUUGUGCAUGGGCUGGGGCUGCUGGCACACAGCUGUUCCAGGGGGACCAGGAGUGGGACUGUGAGCUGGGAGCUCGCCUCAGUGGGGGGGUACAUGUGGACAUCAGUCAUUGUGUAAGGAAAUGGAGCAUACCUUGUUAUCCAAAUCAUCUUCAGGUGGGGUUGUUUUUACUCCUGGAAUUAUAUUGGAAAAAAUGUGAAAAAAAAUAAGUGAGUGGCACAAAAAUUUACAUCUGACUUAGGCAAGACCUGAGCAAGUUUGAGCCCUCACCGCCCUUUUUUUUCCUCUUUAGAGCAGCUUCCCUUUGGACUUCAGCUGCUGGAAAACAACAUAUAUUCACAGGCUGUGCUUUAUUUGCAAGCCAGUAAAAGUUUUGAGGAAUGCAUU